UACCCGCUGAGUUUUAAGCAUA
rnacentral:rRNA from 1 species